GGGGGUCUCCAAGCAGUCUUGUAUGAACUGGUAGAGCCCAGACUCGGUUUCUCGGAGAGUGACUCGGAGUGCGACCGGUGGUGCGAAAGGCUGUGGAGCUCUGGAUUUCACGGAGCAGCAAGGCAGGGACGAUGCAGAGCCCACGAGAAUUCAUGGCACAUCUGGACUGAUCCACUGUUCGACUGCAAGGACCAGAACAGCCCUUAGAAUUUUAGCAACUGCUGUAGAAUUUCUGAAAAUCUACCACUCUUCUCGACCAGGCAGGGGAUAGGAUACCGUAUUUAUCUGAAACCGAGGUUAAAAAGUGUCCGGCGACAUAUUAUUGACUUCGAUGGUCAAUGGUAAAUUUACAAAAAGAGGCGCUGACGAUAACGUUCCCUACACUUUGGAGAGGUGGAUCAAGAUUUGCGAGGUGCAUGAGGAGGACCAGUGCCUUUCUGGACACCACUGGAGAAUGAUGCUUCUGCAACACGCAGCAGGAGAGAUAUCUAGAGCCACGCAUUUCACCGGGAUAUCUUCCCCCUCCGUCUAACCCAAACACACACACACACACACACACACACACACACACACACACAGACACACACACACACACAGACACUGCUAGUGGUCACCCAUGCAAGUCAGGACAGAUUGAUGGGCGCGUCGUCUGGAUGGCAGGUACCAUGAGAGGAUUUUGAUCGGGCAGGGUACCAGCUGGCCGUCCCGGGGGGACCAAUCCAGUGGAGUGAGAGCCUGUGUUGGCCACUGGGCAGCGGGCCGACAGCGGGCAGCGGCCUGGCAGAGAAAGACCACGAGUAGGCACACUGGGCGCGAGCAGAGGGCACGCGUCUGUCUCCCCAUUGGCUGAUCCCUGCUGCCCAUCUGGCCCGGGAUGUCUGCAGAGCCACGCCCCCUAAGACACAAGCUGACCCGGGGGGCAGGGCAUCUGGAGGGCACUUUAAUGCCCCCUGCAGCAGCAGCACGGAGUGCAGCAUAGCGCGCCAGGUCGUUGCCCACUGAGCGGACGAGCGCUUGGCAUCCGGUCAGGUGCAUCUGAUUGAGCAGAGAGCAGAGGAGAGGAGACAACCAGUGGUGACAGCAAAGACGAUGCCAGCAAGCCUCCGUAGCCAAUGUCCACAACAGAACUGAAAACAAGGGCCCAACAAUCUGCGGAGAGUGAGUGUGUGUGAGAGAGAGAGAGUAUCUACAGAAGUAAAGAAAGAGAGUGAAGGAAAAAAGAAAGAGAGAGUGUGGGUGUGUGUGUGUGUGGGGAUUGUUGAAAAGCAUUUCUUUCGAGUUGCAGGGAGCUGCCUCUCUGCGAUGUGUCUCUGGUCCAAGCCCACGUGGAAACUCCUCCCUCGGCCCGGUCUAAUUACGAGCGUGUGAAGUGUUCCAGCGCUGCUGGACUGGGCCGCGCUGGACGUGAACCUCAGCCAGGCAGACGUGGACAAUCAGGACCUGCUGAGUGCCUCUCAGCCACAAGAGAAGAGAACCAGGCGAGGAACAAAAGAGGUGGUGGUGGUUGGUGUCCGGGUGGAGGAGGGGGGGGGGUGGAGAGAAACAAUGCGCCGUGGUGAGAGAGGAAGUGAGAGGGACUGUUGUUGAGACAGCGCAGGACAACACAGAGCCGCUGGCUGGGCACAGAGAGGGACGGAGAGACCGAGAGCUGGACGUCCAGUGCUGAGGCUCCUGGCUCGGCGAGCGCUGCGCUGCGUUGGUGUGAGACUCACCAGCUCUGGACUUGGCAGGCGACGGAGCUCUCUGUGGCUUGGCAGCAGGAGGAGGAGAAACCAGAUUUUCACGUUUCACAUUUCCGAGCCGUUUUGCGACGGUGGCCUGGUGUGACUCGCUGAGGACGUAGAGGGAGACUGGUGGUGGACCUGCGGCAGUCUUCUUCCUCUUGUCUCUGGCUAGGGACACUCCUCAUUUCUCCGUGGACGGGUGUGUGUGUUGUUUCUGGCCUCGGACACUCCAUUCUCCUGUCUCUGUGGACCGGUGUGUGUGUGUGUGUGUGUGUGUGUGUGUGUGUGUGUGUGUGUGUGUGUGUGUGUGUGUGUGUGUGUGUGUGUGUGUGUGUGUGUGAGUCCGCCUGCAGGCUGAGUGUGCCCGGGGACAGGGUGGGGACAGUGGCAGG